GAAACUUGUGUUGGUAGACAAAUAAGUUCAUGAACUGCAGAUAUAAAUCGAGCAGUAGAUAUGUUUUUUAUCUCAAACAAGCACGGCACUGCUUCCUGGUGUGGAUUAUAUUCCAGUUUUCAAAAGGAACCAUAGAAAGUACAAGCAAUACGAUUUUCUUUUGGAGGGAUUUCUAGCAUCAUAGGCCAAAGAUGUUAUUAAGUAUCAACUCUGAAAAAGCAACUAUAAAUACUGCAGAUCGACUAAGCCAGAGGUCGCGAAUAUAUCCUGCGUGUGGUGUGCUGGCCUGUGGUUGAGGCUUCAUGCUUGUGCUCUGGGCUCAUGGGGGCAACUGACUGCUCAUAAUUAAGAUUGCUGUUGCCGCUGCCUGUGUUCCAGAGAGAACACAAGACGAUAGAGCUAAGGUGCAGGAAUGCGGAAAAACUUGCAGAAACUACAGCUAGUCUUCGGAUUGAAAUGAACUACCAGUAAAGGGUUGGGAAAUGGAUCAAGGGGAGGGAAGCAUUUUGAUGGCCCCUGCUCCGAGGUUCAGCCCAUUUGCAGUUGCUGAUAACCUUGUCCGGUCACCAGAUAAAGGCAAGUCUUGUCACCCUCGGGCACCUGGCAGCGAGGUAAUAAAACGGUUGCCUUAUCAUCUAAAGGUGGAGUUAGUCAAACCUCAGCCCAGGGUAAUUACAGUAAACUGAAAUUGCCUGUCCUUUACAAAAAAAAAGGGGGGGAGGGAGAGAGAAAGGAAAAGGGCUUAAGGCAGGAAAUUGUGUUUGUCUUUCUCCUUGGACUUAAAAAAGAAACGAGCAAAACAGCAAGAAGUUUUCCAGGGAGGGAGAAAAACAGCCCGGCUAAACUCCCCUCACCCGGGGUUAACAGGAUUGCUGACAGACCAAGCCCACGUGAUGGUCAAGAAAAGAGGCUCAAGCUGAUGAAAAUCCAAGAAAUCUUCUUAGGAGCCUGCCUUUCUAAAUGUAAAUGACUGAGUCAUUGCUUUGCUAAGGAGGGAAGGAAGUUACAAUCACACCAAGUGACUCAUUCAUUGCUGUUAGCUCUGGCAGUUGGAUAAAAAGUUUUAGCAAAAGCAGCAACAAAUGUACUUUAAAUACUAGCACAGUGAGGGAAUUCCUCUCUUUCAGGAUGAAUGCCAUCCACACAAAAGAGCUCCUGUUGACAUCUCAUUUACAAUCUCCCCCAGGACACAGACAAGACCCUUUCAAUAAACUCGGCUCCGAAACACCUAUUGUUCAAAAUCUUCAACUCGCCACAGGCUACCACCACUCCCUACGGCUUUGCAAAAUUAAAGAUUUCGAAGAAGGAUGGGGACGGUGGAGGCUAUGAAAAGAGGCACGAAAAAAGUCCCUUUGACCCGAUGCUGUCAGAGAGCGUGCAUGAAGAAGAAAGUUAAUGUGUUUCCAUUUAUAUAAGAAGUGCCUAAGAAAUGCCUGUGACGUUUGUGAACUAGUGAUUGUGAAUUCCAAAUUUGAUGCCAACUUUAUGUGUAAAGAAGCUAACUCCUGCCAACAUUGUGGCUGAAUGAACAGCUGGGGCUAUGCUUAACCCAUUCCCAGCUUACAAAAGCCCCAUAGCAGCUGCAGCAAAGCAUCAGGUGAGUCUGAUAUGGGCUGUUUCCUCGGGGAUUUGAAGCUUGCCUGUCCUGUCCAAGUGGAAUCUUGUGCCUAAGUGCUCGAGUCCACCCCUCUCCACUGAUUCCCUUCUUUCCAUCUCUGCCAUUUCCUUUCUUCUUUUAAUAAAACUUGGGCAUUUUCUGGAGUUACAUGUUUUUCUUGGGAUGUACUUCAAAUUAAGGAGCAUAUUUAUGUUUACAGAAACACACACACACACACACACACACACACAAAGGAAUCGGGCAUUUCUCAAGUUUCUCAUCUUUCACUUAAGGUUCCCUAUCUCAGUUCACGAUCCCUUUGUCUGCCCCGAGUUCAAGCCAAAACUCGGCAUUAUCUGUAAGCACUCUUUUGGGUCCUCUUCGAUCUCUUAAAUCCCUCUGGAAUCAUUCCACAUCCUUCUGUGCAUCUUUCUGCUUCCCUAGAUCCUAUAGUUUUAAAUGUUCUCUUCUGGAGUAUCACAGCAACUUCCUUAACCCAAGCUUUCUCCAACUCUGAGUUGUGACUUAAUGGGUAGUGAAAUCAGAUGAGUCAUGCAGUUUCACCAUUUAGAAAAUGCAAAAGGUUAGGUGGAAAAUGUCAGCGUACAUCCUGUGUAGAAAAAUUAAGUCUUGUUGGGAAACUUCUUUCAGUUUGUGUGUGCUUGUCCCCGGAUCUGUGUACAUACUGGGCAACAGGGAAAAUGCAUUUUGUAGGUCAAAAUAUUUGGAGAAAUACUUUUCUACUUAGUCUCACUGGGUCUGUCUGUUCUCUGUUUCCAAACUAAAUUGCGUACACUGAGAGGAAGAGCGGAAACCCUCCAGCAGGUCCUGUCAGUCUGCAGUUUACAAAUCUGCCCUCAGAAAAGUAUGGUAAGAAGAAAUUGAAUUUGAAGUGCUUUCUUACAAAGGAAAAAGAAAAUCACUAUUGUAACUGUAUGCCAAACUACUACGUAUGUGAGGCCCCAACUUUGACUUCACGUCGUUACAGCCAGAUGCUGUCUAUGUGUUGGGGCUCAGAACAUGAUGCCCUAAAAUAUGGUGACUUGGCAACUGAGAAAACCAAAGGAGCAAGGUCACUCAAUGUGAGAUCUGGCCACAACGGGAUGCUCUGACCUAUCUUUGCCUGAAAGUAGGUCAUAAGAUGCUCACUCCAGAAGGGUCCCACUCUAUACCCAGAGGCAAAGAAGAAUUGGAACAGACAGCUCCUGCCCUAACUGGUCCCCAGUUGUUUGUUACCAUUAAAUAAUAAAUUUAUUCUAUUUCAAAUCUGAAAUACUCUAAAGUCUGAAACUUUUUGUUUUUUUGAGACAGAGUCUCGCUCUGUCACCCAGGCUGGAGUGUAGUGUACGAUCUCAGCUCACUGCAACCUCCAUCUCCCAGGUUCAAUGAUCCUCC